CCCGCUGAACUUAAGCAUAUCAAUAAGCGGAGGAAAAGAAACCAACAGGGAUUGCCUCAGUAACGGCGAGUGAAGCGGCAACAGCUCAAAUUUGAAAUCUGGCACCCGCCCGAGUUGUAAUUUGCAGAGGAGGCUUUGGAGUCGCCCCGGUCCAAGUUCCUUGGAACAGGACGUCGCAGAGGGUGAGAAUCCCGUACGCGGCCGGAUGGCUUCUCCGUGUAAAGCCCCUUCGACGAGUCGAGUUGUUUGGGAAUGCAGCUCUAAAUGGGAGGUAAAUUUCUUCUAAAGCUAAAUACCGGCCAGAGACCGAUAGCGCACAAGUAGAGUGAUCGAAAGAUGAAAAGCACUUUGAAAAGAGAGUUAAAAAGUACGUGAAAUUGUUGAAAGGGAAGCGUUUGUAGCCAGACUUGGCGGCAGUUGCUCAACCGGUCUUUGCCCGGUGCACUCUUCUGCCGACAGGCCAGCAUCAGUUCGGGCGGCCGGAUAAAGGCAUUGGGAACGUGGCUCCUCGGAGUGUUAUAGCCCUUUGCACAAUGCGGCCAGCCCGGACUGAGGACCGCGAUUCACGGAUGCUGGCUUAAUGGCUGCCAACGGCCCGUCUUGAAACAC
rnacentral:rRNA from 1 species